ACGGGGUGCAGCAGGCGCGAAAACUCCGCAAUGCGCGCAAGCGUGACGGGGGAACUCCAAGUGCCUCUCAAAAGAGAGGCUUUUGUGAUAUGUAAAAAGUAUCUCGAAUAAGGACUGGUCAAGACUAGUGCCAGCCUCCGCGGUAAAACUAGCAGUUCGAGUGGUAGCCACGAUUAUUGGGCUUAAAGCGUUCGUAGCCGGCUUGAUAAGUUCUCUGUGAAAUCCUUGGGCUUAACUUAAGGGCUUGCAGAGAAUACUAUCUCGCUUGGAGUUGGGAGAAGUCAAGGGAACUACUAGGGUAGCGGUGAAAUGCUAUAAUCCUAGUAGGACCGCCAAUGGCGAAGGCACUUGACUAGAACAAGCUCGACGGUGAGGAACGAGAGCUAGGGGAGCGAACCGGAUUAGAUACCCGGGUAGUCCUAGCUGUAAACGAUGUGGACUGAGUGUUUCCCGAACUUAGGGUUCGGGAAGUGCUGAAGGAAACCGUUAAGUCCACCGCCUGGGAGUACGUCGCAAGGC
rnacentral:rRNA from 1 species